GCUGGGAUAGCUUGGAAGAGCAUGUGACUCUUAAAUCUCACGGCCAUGGGUUCAAGCCCCAUACUGGGCA